rnacentral:misc_RNA from 1 species
GAUGAAGAACGCAGCGAAAUGCGAUAAGUAAUGUGAAUUGCAGAAUUCAGUGAACCAUCGAAUCUUUGAACGCACAUUGCGCCCGGCAGUAAUCUGCCGGGCAUGCCUGUCCGAGCGUCAUUUCAACCAUCAAGCCCCCGGCUUGUGUUGGGGACCUGCGGCUGCCGCAGGCCCUGAAAAGCAGUGGCGGGCUCGCUGUCACACCGAGCGUAGUAGCAUACAUCUCGCUCUGGGCGUGCUGCGGGUUCCGGCCGUUAAACCACCUUCAUAACCCAAGGUUGACCUCGGAUCAGGUAGGAAGACCCGCUGAACUUAAGCAUAUCAAUAAGCGGAGGA